GCCCGGAUGGCGGAAUUGGUAGACGCGCUGGUCUCAAAAACCAGUUCCUUUACGGGAGUGCCGGUUCGACUCCGGCUCCGGGCACCA
rnacentral:tRNA from 1 species